AACUUGUGGUUCAGUUGGUAGACCACUCGCCUGACAUGUGUGAGGCCCUGGGUUCAAUCCUCAGCACCAGAUA
rnacentral:tRNA from 1 species